AUACGGAGGAUCCGAGCGUUAUCCGGAUUUAUUGGGUUUAAAGGGUGCGCAGGCGGCCAUUUAAGUCAGCGGUUAAAUCGUGGGGCUCCACCCCAUUCUGCCGUUGAUACUGGGUGGCUUGAUUGCGGUCGAGGUUGGCGGAAUUCGUUGUGUAGCGGUGGAAUGCAUAGAUAUGACGAAGAACACCGAUUGCGUAGGCAGCUGACCAGACCGCAAAUGACGCUCAUGCACGAAAGUGCGGGGAUCGAACAGGAUUAGAUACCCUGGUAGUCCGCACAGUAAACGAUGAAUACUUGUUUUCGGCGAUAUAAUGUCGGAGGCAAAGCGAAAGCGAUAAGUAUUCCACCUGGGGAGUACGCCGGCAACGGUGAAACUCAAAUGAAUUGGCGGGG
rnacentral:rRNA from 1 species